rnacentral:rRNA from 1 species
GGAUUAGAUACCCUGGUAGUCCACACGGUAAACGAUGAAUACUCGCUGUUUGCGAUAUACGGCAAGCGGCCAAGCGAAAGCGUUAAGUAUUCCACCUGGGGAGUACGCCGGCAACGGUGAAACUCAAAGGAAUUGACGGGGGCCCGCACAAGCGGAGGAACAUGUGGUUUAAUUCGAUGAUACGCGAGGAACCUUACCCGGGCUUAAAUUGCACUCGAAUGAUCCGGAAACGGUUCAGCUAGCAAUAGCGAGUGUGAAGGUGCUGCAUGGUUGUCGUCAGCUCGUGCCGUGAGGUGUCGGCUUAAGUGCCAUAACGAGCGCAACCCUUGUUGUCAGUUACUAACAGGUGAUGCUGAGGACUCUGACAAGACUGCCAUCGUAAGAUGUGAGGAAGGUGGGGAUGACGUCAAAUCAGCACGGCCCUUACGUCCGGGGCUACACACGUGUUACAAUGGGGGGUACAGAGGGCCGCUACCACGCGAGUGGAUGCCAAUCCCUAAAACCCCUCUCAGUUCGGACUGGAGUCUGCAACCCGACUCCACGAAGCUGGAUUCGCUAGUAAUCGCGCAUCAGCCACGGCGCGGUGAAUACGUUCCCGGGCCUUGUACACACCGCCCGUCAAGCCAUGGGAGCCGGGGGUACCUGAAGUGCGUAACCGCGAGGAUCGCCCUAGGGUAAAACUGGUGACUGGGGCUAAGUCGUAACAAGGUAAC